UAAACGCAAGUGGUGAAUAUUGUGAACGAGCCAAUUGACUUGACGAAAAAUCUUUAGACUUUACGGACAUGAGUAAUUAAAUUGAUGUGCUUGUGCUGGGCCCACCUGUACGCUCGACUGGAGCGCAUUUGCUGAUAAGAAACAAACUAUAUUUAAAUAGAGCGCCAGCGUGCAUUUCGACACUGAGAGAGCAGGGAAGAGAAAGAUCUCACGUUUAUUAUCAACAACUGGAGCGCACGACACAGCCCGCGUCCAGUGCGACUCGAGCUGUUGACAUUGAGCGUCAUGGUCGGGCGUGUCAGUGUUCUCUUGCUCUUGGUCUUGACCUUCGUGCACAAAUUGAGCUUCGGUCAUUGCCAGCUCGGGCCGGAGCUGGUGGCACGUUUGACGCCUGAAACCACGCCGGACGUGCAGGAAGCAGCCGUGCGGCAGCUCAUGCAACGUGUGAUCGGGCUGCGAGCAUCCAAUUUAUUCCAGGUGGAAGUGAACAAGCUGCUCGAAACAAGCAGCUAUCAGAUCAGUCGAUUGGACAAUGGCAAGGUGUUAAUAGCCGGAUGGGAUGGCGUCUCGGUGUGCAAGGGCUUUCAUUACUAUCUAAAAUAUGUGCUCAAUCAGGAUUUGGACUGGUUCAAGACACGCAUCGAGCUCUCCGAGCAAUUGCAACUGCCGAACGUGACACUCACCUCCAAGUCGGCCAGUUCCAUUAUUUACUACCAGAAUGUGUGCACCUGGAGCUACAGCUAUGUGUGGUGGAGCUUUGAGGAGUGGCGUGCACACAUCGAUUGGAUGGCGAUGAUGGGCAUUAAUCUUGUGAUAGCGCCCAACCAGGAGGCCAUCUGGCAGGCUGUGUACACAGAGCUGGGCCUCAAUGCGAACGAAAUAGACGCACACUUUGCCGGUCCGGCGUUCCAGGCCUGGCAGCGCAUGGGCAACAUUCGUGGCUGGGCUGGUCCACUGCCACCCGCACACAGGCGUCUCCAGCAGCUGCUGCAACAACUCAUUGUGCGUGCACAACGCGAACUGGGCAUGAGCGUCGCUCUGCCAGCAUUUGCCGGACAUGUGCCUACGGCCAUGCGACGGGUCUUUCCCAAUGCCAACUAUACGCCUGCCGAGCGCUGGAAUAACUUUCCUGAUCAGUAUUGUUGCGACCUGUUUGUGGAGCCACACGAUCCGCUUUUUCAGCAGUUGGGCGCCAUGUUCCUGCGGCGUGUCAUCCAAGUCUAUGGCUCCAAUCACAUCUAUUUCAGUGAUCCUUUUAACGAGAUGCAGCCACCGCUAGCUGAGCCGGGAUAUAUGCGUUCGACAGCCAAGGCAAUUUAUAACUCGAUGCGAGAGGUGGAUGGGAAUGCCGUCUGGUUGCUGCAGGGUUGGAUGUUUCUGAAGGAUAUCUUUUGGACAGAUGAGCUUAUAGAGGCCUUUCUCACAGCCGUGCCGCGUGGUCGCAUCCUAGUGCUCGACUUACAAAGCGAACAGUUUCCGCAAUACCAGCGCACCCAUUCCUACUACGGCCAACCGUUUGUGUGGUGCAUGCUGAACAAUUUCGGCGGUACGCUGGGUCUCUUCGGAUCCGCCCAGUUCAUUGGCAGUGGAAUUGCAUCGGCACGCAUUAUGCCCAAUAGCAGCUUGGUGGGCGUAGGCAUCACACCCGAGGGCAUUGGCCAGAACUAUGCCAUAUUCGCACUCACCCUUGAGCAGGGCUGGAGCGCGUCGGAGCUGCAACUUGGCGACUGGUUCGAUCACUUCGCUCUGACUCGCUAUGGCGUUAACGAUACACGUUUGGCCCAGGCUUGGCAGCUGUUGCGCGGCGGCGUUUACUCCUUCCAUGGCCUGCAACGCAUGCGUGGAAAAUAUGCCUUGAACAGGAGGCCAGGACUAAACUUGAAUCCGUGGACCUGGUACAAUGGCUCCAGUGUCACUGACGCCUGGCAGCUGUUGCUGGCGUCCAGGGAAAUGGUGCCUCUAACGGAUGACAGGUAUGCCAUCUAUGAGCACGACCUGGUGGACAUAACGCGCCAGUUCCUGCAACAGAGCUUCGAUCAGAUUUACGUCAACCUGAGGUCAGCGUAUCGCAAGGAGCAGCUAAAUCGUCUCGAGUAUUUGGCUGGCAAGCUGCUGGAACUACUCGACGAUAUGGAGCGUAUACUGGCAAGUGGCGUACACUAUUUAUUGGGCACUUGGCUGGAGGCCGCCAAGAAAUUGGCGCCCAGCGAUAAACUGCGUCCACUCUACGAGUUUAAUGCGCGCAAUCAGCUCACAUCGUGGGGUCCCAACGGUCAGAUUCUCGAUUAUGCAACGAAACAAUGGUCGGGCCUGAUGUGCGACUAUUACCAGCCACGUUGGGCAAUGUUUCUGGACGCCGUGACGCGGGCAAUGCAAACGCACAGGCCGUUCAACGCCACCGACUUCAAGCAGCGGGUGGCCAACGAGAUCGAGCUGCCAUUCAGCAACCUGACCAAGAUGUAUCCCACAAAGCCAAUGGGAAACACGUGGCUCAUUUCGAAUGAUAUAUACAUCAAAUGGAGCUCCUAUGCGAAAGAAACACAAUUUCUGCACAAUUGUCGAUUACCCGUAAAGCUUCUGACAUAGAGCUGCAAUGAUAUACAAAUAAACCCAAGCUCCUCCCCCCUAAGCAGAGACCAUAAUGAUUCAGAUCGAGCAGUAAAUGUUUGAGAAAACUGUUAACAAUAAAAUUUAAAAUAAAAAACAAUUUUAGUCACAUUGUUUAAAUAUUAGUUUGGAGCCUUUAAACUAUGUAAUAAAUGUGAGAAAAAAAAGCUAAACAAAUAA